rnacentral:lncRNA from 1 species
AUGCCCCCCGCCCCUUUGGAGACACGUCACCAGCCUCCUGACAGCUUUGGCAGUGGCAUCCCUGUCUGCCUGAUUCAAGCAGAAGGAGUGUUCUGGGGCAGGCGGCUGCUGUGGGGACCUCUUCCAAAGCAUGACGAUGAGGGGAAGUCACCAUUCUGUCGGCCACAGUCCUUGCAGCCAGCCCUCGCCCUCUCCCAGGUACAAGGCUGGAUCUUGGUCUCUGCUCGUCCCAUCAAAACAGACAAGGCGCUCAGUCCACUGAACCUGGUUGUCUGCAGAGCUCUGAAAAGGAGUCACAGUUGCAGGAACACAGGUGUGGCUGCGAGAGCCAGGGCCACCACAAGCAAAUGCGGAGCACUGUGCGAUGCAUCAGCGGGGAAUCCACAAGGCAGGUAG